AACCCACUAAGUAUAUUCUUGGUAUGAGCUUUCGUUUGCAUGCACACUUCUUCAGACACCUGAAGAAGCAUCUGAAGAAGUGUGCAUGCACACAAAAGCUCAUACCAAGAACAAACCUACUUGG